UACGGAGGGUGCAAGCGUUAAUCGGAAUUACUGGGCGUAAAGCGCGCGUAGGUGGUUUGGUAAGCGAGAUGUGAAAGCCCUGGGCUCAACCUGGGAACUGCAGUGGAAACUGGAUGACUAGAGUCUGGCAGAGGGUGGCGGAAUUCCCGGUGUAGGGGUGAAAUCCGUAGAUAUCGGGAGGAACACCAGAGGCGAAGGCGGCCACCUGGGCCAAGACUGACGCUGAGGUGCGAAAGCGUGGGGAGCAAACAGG
rnacentral:rRNA from 1 species